UACGUAGGGUGCGAGCGUUGUCCGGAAUUACUGGGCGUAAAGAGCUCGUAGGUGGUUUGUCGCGUCUGCUGUGAAAACUGGAGGCUCAACCUCCAGCCUGCAGUGGGUACGGGCAGACUAGAGUGCGGUAGGGGAGAUUGGAAUUCCUGGUGUAGCGGUGGAAUGCGCAGAUAUCAGGAGGAACACCGAUGGCGAAGGCAGAUCUCUGGGCCGUAACUGACGCUGAGGAGCGAAAGCGUGGGGAGCGAACAGG
rnacentral:rRNA from 1 species